rnacentral:rRNA from 1 species
GACAGAGGGUGCAAACGUUGUUCGGAAUCACUGGGCGUAAAGCGUGUGUAGGCGGCCAUACAAGUCGGAUGUGAAAGCCCUGGGCUCAACCCAGGAAGUGCACCCGAAACUGUGUGGCUCGAGUACUGGAGAGGUUGGUGGAAUUCUCGGUGUAGAGGUGAAAUUCGUAGAUAUCGAGAGGAACACCGGUGGCGAAGGCGGCCAACUGGACAGAUACUGACGCUGAGACACGAAAGCGUGGGGAGCAAACAGG